UGGGAGGAAGAACCCACAGGGGAUUGCCCUAGUAACGGCGAGUGAAGCGGCAACAGCUCAAAUUUGAAAUCUGGCUCUUUUAGAGUCCGAGUUGUAAUUUGCAGAGGGCGCUUUGGCUUUGGCAGCGGUCCAAGUUCCUUGGAACAGGACGUCACAGAGGGUGAGAAUCCCGUACGUGGUCGCUGGCUAUUGCCGUGUAAAGCCCCUUCGACGAGUCGAGUUGUUUGGGAAUGCAGCUCUAAAUGGGAGGUACAUUUCUUCUAAAGCUAAAUAUUGGCCAGAGACCGAUAGCGCACAAGUAGAGUGAUCGAAAGAUGAAAAGCACUUUGGAAAGAGAGUCAAACAGCACGUGAAAUUGUUGAAAGGGAAGCGCUUGCAGCCAGACUUGCUUACAGUUGCUCAUCCGGGUUUUUACCCGGUGCACUCUUCUGUAGGCAGGCCAGCAUCAGUUUGGGCGGUAGGAUAAAGGUCUCUGUCACGUACCUCCUUUCGGGGAGGCCUUAUAGGGGAGACGACAUACUACCAGCCUGGACUGAGGUCCGCGCAUCUGCUAGGAUGCUGGCGUAAUGGCUGUAAGCGGCCCGUCUUGAAACACGGACCAAGGAGUCUAACAUCUAUGCGAGUGUUUGGGUGUCAAGCCCGAGCGCGUAAUGAAAGUGAACGGAGGUGGGAACCCGCAAGGGUGCACCAUCGACCGAUCCUGAUGUCUUCGGAAGGAUUUGAGUAAGAGCAUGGCUGUUGGGACCCGAAAGAUGGUGAACUAUGCUUGAAUAGGGUGAAGCCAGAGGAACUCUGGUGGAGGCUCGCAGCGGUUCUGACGUGCAAAUCGAUCGUCAAAUUUGGGCAUAGGGGCGAAAGACUAAUCGAACUAUCUAGUAGCUGGUUCCUGCCGAGUUCCCCUCCCAGGAAGAAAGAAC
rnacentral:rRNA from 1 species